GAUGAAGAACGUAGCGAAAUGCGAUAAGUAAUGUGAAUUGGAGAAUUCAGUGAAUCAUCGAAUCUUUGAACGCACAUUGCGCCCGCUGGUACUCCGGCGGGCACGCCUGUCCGAGCGUCAUUUCAACCCUCAAGCCCUCCUUCGGGAUGGGCCUGGUGUUGGGGCUCGGCCGCCAUCUCCGGCGGCCGUCCCCUAAAUACAGUGGCGGUCACGUCGCGACUCCUUUGCGUAGUAGAAACACCUCGCUCCGGAUAGCAACGCGGUCCACGCCGUAAAACCCCCAAUUUUCAAUGGUUGACCUCGGAUCAGGUGGGAAUACCCGCUGAACUUAAGCAUAUCAAUAAGCGGAGGA
rnacentral:misc_RNA from 1 species